GACGAACGCUGGCGGCGUGCUUAACACAUGCAAGUCGAACGGAAAGGCCCUGCUUUUGUGGGGUGCUCGAGUGGCGAACGGGUGAGUAACACGUGAGUAACCUGCCCUUGACUUUGGGAUAACUUCAGGAAACUGGGGCUAAUACCGGAUAGGAGCUCCUGCUGCAUGGGGGGGGUUGGAAAGUUUCGGCGGUUGGGGAUGGACUCGCGGCUUAUCAGCUUGUUUGUGGGGUAGUGGCUUACCAAGGCUUUGACGGGUAGCCGGCCUGGGAGGGUGACCGGCCACAUUGGGACUGAGAUACGGCCCAGACUCCUACGGGAGGCAGCAGUGGGGAAUAUUGCACAGUGGGCGGAAGCCUGAUGCAGCAACGCCGCGUGCGGGAUGACGGCCUUCGGGUUGUAAACCGCUUUCGCCUGUGACGAAGCGUGAGUGACGGUAAUGGGUAAAGAAGCACCGGCUAACUACGUG
rnacentral:rRNA from 1 species